GAGGCCCGCCGCGGUAACGACGGGUAACGGGGAAUCAGGGUUCGAUUCCGGAGAGGGAGCCCGAGAAACGGCUACCACUUCCAAGGAAGGCAGCAGGCGCGCAACUUACCCUAAUCUCGAUUCGAGGAGGUAGUGACAAGAAAUACCGAUGCGGGACCCUACGGGUGCCGCGUUCGGAAUGAGUACGAUUCGAACCACCUAACGAGGAACGAUCGGAGGGCAAGUCUGGUGCCAGCAGCCGCGGUAAUUCCAGCUCCAAUAGCGUACGUUAAAGUUGCUGCAGUUAAAAAGCUCGUAGUUGAACGUUCGGGUUCCGCGGGACGGGGCCGCCCCGCGAGGACGGCGCCGCCCCGGGGCUCGUGAUAUCUCAUCUCGCCGCCCGUCGCGAGGCGGACGGAGGGAUGGAUGAGGUUACCUGGAAAAAAAUCGGGGACGAUCUAGGCGGGCGAACCUCGCCAACGAACGAUCGGACAUGGGAUAACGGAAGAGGGCGUCGGCUCGACUUCGUCGGUUCCUGGGCCGAGGCACGUACGGUGAAUAGGG
rnacentral:rRNA from 1 species